rnacentral:tRNA from 2 species
GCGCCGAUAGCUCAAUUGGAUAGAGCAUCUGGCUACGGACCAGAAGGUUGGGGGUUCGAGUCCCUUUCGGCGCGCCA